AUUGAACGCUGGCGGCAUGCUUUACACAUGCCAGUCGAACGGCAGCGGGGAGGAGCUUGCUUCUCUGCCGGCGAGUGGCGAACGGGUGAGUAAUACAUCGGAACGUGUCGAGAAGAGGGGGAUAACCACCCGAAAGGGUGGCUAAUACCGCAUAAAUUCUGAGGAAGAAAGCUGGGGACCUGGGAAUAGGCCUAGCGCUUUUUGAGCGGCCGAUGUCGGAUUAGCUAGUUGGUGAGGUAAAGGCUCACCAAGGCGAAGAUCUGUAGCGGGUCUGAGAGGAUGAUCCGCCACACUGGGACUGAGACACGGCCCAGACUCCUACGGGAGGCAGCAGUGGGGAAUUUUGGACAAUGGGGGCAACCCUGAUCCAGCCAUGCCGCGUGUAUGAAGAAGGCCUUAGGGUUGUAAAGUACUUUUGUUAGGGAAGAAAAGUCAGCUGUGAAUAAUGGCUGAUACUGACGGUACCUAAAGAAUAAGCACCGGCUACCUACGUG
rnacentral:rRNA from 1 species